rnacentral:rRNA from 1 species
GAUUAGAGUUUGAUCAUGGCUCAGAACGAACGCUGGCGGCAUGCCUAACACAUGCAAGUCGAACGAACCCUUCGGGGUUAGUGGCGCACGGGUGCGUAACGCGUGGGGAUCUGCCCUUUGCUUCGGAAUAACAGUUAGAAAUGACUGCUAAUACCGGAUGAUGUCGAAAGACCAAAGAUUUAUCGGCAAAGGAUGAACCCGCGUAGGAUUAGCUAGUUGGUGGGGUAAAGGCCUACCAAGGCGACGAUCCUUAGCUGGUCUGAGAGGAUGAUCAGCCACACUGGGACUGAGACACGGCCCAGACUCCUACGGGAGGCAGCAGUGGGGAAUAUUGGACAAUGGGCGAAAGCCUGAUCCAGCAAUGCCGCGUGAGUGAUGAAGGCCUUCGGGUUGUAAAGCUCUUUUACCAGGGAUGAUAAUGACAGUACCUGAGAAUAG